CUCCACUUGUUUUAUGUAUGUAUAAUGAUGUCCAAUGCAACUGCAGUGCAGACGUUCUAUACCUGCUACUCAGAUUCUGUGUAUAGAAUGUUGCAGCCGUCAUAAUUCAGAUGAUAGACAUUGCCACUGUUUUAAGGUGUCAGGAAGAGAGGUGCCUAAUCUCAAUUGCUGAUGACUUUCUACCAUUUACGCUGUAAAUAGGCUUGUGUAAUCUGCAAGUAAUUACGUUACAGAGUUUGUUUUAACACAGCCAGUGCUUCCUACCCCAGGGAACUCUGCUUAUUCCACUAGCUAGGUAACUGGAUUACUGUCAUGUGUCAUCAUUUUAACUGGAAUAACUAAUGUGUUCUUAAACAGAUGAUAACAAGACUAUUCCUGCUGGGAAGGGCUGUCUAAUACGUUUAUAAGAAAGCAUUCCUGGAAAUCUAUCCGUAGGGAUCAGGUCUUCUCCCUACAAUCCUAUCUCUUUGGACAGGUGCUUAUAUUGUUUUAUUGAUAGAAAGGCAAUUUCCUUGCAUGUCUAGUUUAAG